GGACCUGAGAGCAGACCCAUCAGGAAUGGAAUUAGAGACUAUACAGGACACCUCAGAGUUCCUUUGCCCCUUCCAUCUACGAGGAUACAACAGAAAGGUACCACCUUGAAACCAAGAAGGCAAGAAGCAGGUCUUUAACCAGACACUGAGACCACAGGUCAAGAAAGAAAACAUCAUUGGCAUCUCUUCCUAUGCAUCUCUUCCAGAUCAGAAUCUCUUCUCUUUUCUGAAGCGGUCCAAGGGAGUUCCGGUUAAAGAAAGACCUCAGACUCAGGAGAGGAAUACCACAGAGAGAUGGAGACAAGAGACAGAAGGAGGCAGAGACUGCAACUGCCAGUCAAGGAAUGCCAGAGUGCUGCAACCACCAGAAACUUGAAGAGGCCAAGAAGAGAUCUUCUCUCCAGGUUUCAGAGGGAACAUGGUCAUGAAAGACUUGGUUUGGGGUUCCUAGCCUCCAGAAAAGUAAGAAAAUAAAUUUCUGCUGUUUGAGCCACCCA